UUGGUUACCCCCUGUACUAACUUAUCAAAAAAUUUUCCGAGAUAAAAAAGAUGGUAGUAAAUAAAUUUUCAAAUUGCCGAAGGUUUUGUUAUUUAGGAGUUGAAUUUCUUUCAUUUAAAUAUGAAUUUUACUUGUUACUGUUACUGGGAAAAGAAUGGUGAAAGAUCAAAAUCAUUGAAAAAAUUUAAUAAAAACUUAGAAGAACAAAUUUGACUGUUUAUUUUUCCAUGAUAUUCGAUGAACAACUAUUGCUAUCCAUCAGUUGUUUGUCCUGGUUGCCGAAGAAAUCUAGUCAGUCAAAUACAGACUCAAAAAGGGAGACUCACCUCAUGGAUUCAUGUUACCAGGGUAGAGUGGAAAACUCUUUUAAGAAAUAGCUCCAGUACCAGUCUAACUCUUCCAGAUGCGAUAACUAAUUUACCGACAACUGAGUCAGUAUAUGUUCCUUUUACUAUACAUUACCUGCACCUGGUUAUUAUCAUAACUGUAAACCCACCAGUACUGUGAUAGUAUCAUUACACUGUCAUUUCUUCUAGGUUCUCUUCAAGCUGAACAGGUUGCUUCUGGAAUUCUAAAAAGUAAAAUGGCUACAGAAAGUUUGAUUGACAGAUCAAGGUUUUGUUUAUCUACAGGAGGAAAUUUGCUCAAAGUCAGUUGGCACACCAGAAAACAAAUCAAAAAGAACUUCUAUUCAGCAGCUUUCCAUCAAAAUAAUAAAACAAUUACAAAUAUUGUUAGAACUUUCAAAUAGAAAAACAAAAGAGAUGCUUUCUACUUUACGCAAAGGUUUAGGAAAUAAGCUUUCCAUCAAGCCUAAUAUUUUUGGUCAUCUUUCUGAAUUAGAAGAAUAUAUUUCUAAUUACUGCAGUGUGCAGAAGUGCGAGUUUGUUGAUAGUAAAGGCCAUUUUGUUUUAUGAGAUUUUGUAGAUGUUCAAAAUAAAUCAGAUUUUGUACUUGACAUGCUAAAAUUACAUGUUUUAGACCCAACUUCAGCCUUUAUAAGGAUUCUAUUGGAUGUUGGAGGUUCAUUAUAUAUAUAUAUAUAAUAUACAUUUUUGAAUUUUUUUUGUUUAUUUAUACUUUGUUUAAAAUAUUUAAAAUUUAUUUUAAAAAAAUUAUUGUAACAGGCAUCUAAAAUGUUUAAAUGGGCGUAGGGCCCCUCAAUUUUACCCUUUACCCCAUUUACUAUCCUUAACUUUUAAAAAAAAAAAAAGGUUAUAUCUAUUUUUAUUAAACAAAUGCUUUUGAAUAAAAAACUUUUUUUUUGUAACAUCCACCUAGCAUACCUAAAUGGGAUUAUGCCUCCCUUGUAUUUACCCUUUGCCUCAUUCUUGACCCUUAGCAAUUUGUUCGGAUUUUAAAAAUCAUUUUUUUUAUUGUUAUAAUACUUUAAAUAGAAAAGAUUUCAUUUGAGUGCCACGACAAAACCUGACGGUCUCUCUGGUGCACAGUGAUCAGUUAUUCUGUUUUUUGAUAUUUGUUUAUGUAGGCCUGCCAUUGUAUUAGAUUAAUCAUAAUGUUUGUUUAUGCAGAUCUCUCGUAAUGUUAAGUUAUUCAUGGUGUUU